CGGGAUGAGCUCAAAUUUAAAAUCUGGCUAGUUUUACUGGUCCGAGUUGUAAUUUAAAGAAACGUUUUCGGUGGCAUGCCGGGUAUAAAUCCUUUGGAACAGGGUAUCAUAGAGGGUGAGAAUCCCGUCUUUGACUCGGUGCGUUGCUACUAUGUGAUACGUUUUCAAA
rnacentral:rRNA from 1 species